rnacentral:ncRNA from 2 species
GGCUCAUCCAGAGGGCAGAGGGAACGGCCCGACGAAGCCCCGGCAACCGGCGAUGCGCGCUCUUGCGCUCGAUCACGGUGCCAAUUCCGACCCGCACGGUGCGGGAAAGAUGAGGA